AUUGAACGCUGGCGGCAGGCCUAACACAUGCAAGUCGAACGGUAACAGGAAGCAGCUUGCUGCUUCGCUGACGAGUGGCGGACGGGUGAGUAAUGUCUGGGAAGCUGCCUGAUGGAGGGGGAUAACUACUGGAAACGGUAGCUAAUACCGCAUAAUGUCGCAAGACCAAAGAGGGGGACCUUCGGGCCUCUUGCCAUCGGAUGUGCCCAGAUGGGAUUAGCUUGUUGGUGGGGUAACGGCUCACCAAGGCGACGAUCCCUAGCUGGUCUGAGAGGAUGACCAGCCCCACUGGAACGGAGACACGGUCCAGAAUCCUACGGGAGGCAGCAGUGGGGAAUAUUGGACAAGGGGCGAAAGCCUGAUGCAGCCAUGCCGCGUGUAUGAAGAAGGCCUUCGGGUUGGAAAGUACUUUCAGCGGGGAGGAAGGGAGUAAAGUUAAUACCUUUGCUCAUUGACGUUACCCGCAGAAGAAGCACCGGCUAACUCCGUG
rnacentral:rRNA from 1 species